rnacentral:RNase_P_RNA from 1 species
GGUCGGCGCCGGAAGAUCGCUCCGCUCCGCCUGUAGUGCGGCGGGCGGGGAGGAAAGUCCGAACUGCGCAGAGCGGGAUGGUCGCGAAACGCGACUCCGCCCGGGAGGAAUCCCCGGCGGGGGAAAGUGCCACAGAAACCAGACCGCCCGUCCGACGUGUGGCGGGCAAGGGUGAAAAUGUGAGGCAAGAGCUCACAUCCCUCCCAGCGAUGGGACGGGAGGACAAACCCCAUCCGCAGCAAGGCUAAGUAAAGAGAGUCCCCGCCGAUAAGGCGGGAUAGACCGGCUCGGUCGAACCUCUCGGGGUAAGCCGCCCAGAUGAAUGAUCUUCGCCCGCCCGCAGUGUGGCGGGGACAGAAUUCGGCUUACAGGCGUCCGACCGCAU